rnacentral:tRNA from 1 species
CAUAGAGUAGCUUAAUAACUAAAGCAUCUGGCCUACACCCAGAAGAAUUCAUACAAUGAACUCUAUGA